rnacentral:rRNA from 1 species
CAGCCACCGCGGUAAUACGGAGGGUGCAAGCGUUAAUCGGAAUUACUGGGCGUAAAGCGUGCGUAGGCGGUUCGUUAAGUCUGUUGUGAAAGCCCCGGGCUCAACCUGGGAAUGGCAAUGGAUACUGGCGAGCUAGAGUGUGUCAGAGGAUGGUGGAAUUCCCGGUGUAGAGGUGAAAUUCGUAGAUAUUGGGAAGAACACCGGUGGCGAAGGCGGCGACCUGGUUCAUAACUGACGCUGAGGCGCGAAAGCGUGGGGAGCAAACAGGAUUAGAUACCCGCGUAGUCCCUGUCUCUUAUAC